AGUGGGAACCCUCCAAAAAUAGG
rnacentral:snRNA from 1 species